GUCAGUGGCAGCAAACCAUUCCUGUAGAGACCUCUCCUUUAGAGCAGGGGAACAAAUGUCUUACAGAAUCCCUUCUCCCCGACACUGAGUCUGAAUUCUCAGGCAGCCUUCAGAUUUGUUGGCAUUCUCCACAUCGCUUUUACCUGCCUGCAUGCAGAGAUAGAUAAUCAUUUGGCUGACAGUGGGUUGUGACGCCUCGGUUUGCACGUUGACCGUGCGAGAGAAAUGGAGACCAAUUGAAAAUAUGGUUAUCUUUGUUGGGUUUUUCUGUAGAGUGAUGUUUUGCACCUCAAGACUUCAUUCUGUAAGAUGUAUCGACGGGAUUGCCUACCUGUAACUCAGCUUUGUAAGCAGCCUCCCGAGGUUAGCCACGGUGGUAUUACAUGCCUUGUGCUUUGCCAGCCCUGCAAGCCUGCCAAAGUCUGUUAAAGCCUUCAGAGCACAAAGCACUGAUAAGAUGGAUCCCUAACAGAACUGGCCUGCAAUUGUACUGAACCAAGAAAGGAUCUCUUUUUGGUGACUAUUUCCACAGAAGCACAAAAUGAGAUAUGACUGUCACGUGUACGUUCAGCUGGAAGUGCUAUCAUUGUAGUCACCAUUUUGGCUUUUACUGGGCUGGAGCUUGAAAUAACAACUCAUAAAUAACUCUUGGAUUCAGCUUCAGGGAAAAGGAGACAGCUCUGAAGGAAUUCAUAUCUGUAUUCUUCAAAGUCCACUGAGAAAAUAAAUGUUUGCAAUGUAUUUCCCAAGGAUUUCUCAAUUCUUUCUCUUGACCAUGUUUACAUUAAUCUCAGUUCAGUACAUGAAGAACAUUCCAGGAUAUAGGAAGGGUUUUUUUGUCCUUUUUGGAAACCUGUAACAAGUUGUACAACUUAACUGUGUCAUGCCUUCAUGCUCAGGUCUGCAGCUGCAAUAACAAUCUCCUAGGGAGCUCAGAACUUGGGGCUGCCAGUAGAAGACCAGAGGGUGGUGGUGCAGUAAGCAAACUGUACAGUGAACACAUCAGUUGUUCCAUGCCUUCACUGAUGUCUUAGCAAAGUGCUGAAGAAGUGAUUAAGAUGUGCAGUGAACUUUUUCAGGUUGAAUUCAAGCUCAUAAUGCUUACUUUGUUUGGUAGUUUUGAGAGAAGAUGAGAGGCCUUUAUCCAGAUUUCUAUGUCCCCAUCUGAUAAAGACAAUAAGGUACAAUACAUAAAAAAUGAAGAAUUAUCAGCCUGACUUUUCCUCUACUCAUAUUUAAACACUUCCCAGGUCAUUUAAUAAUUUCAUACGUAUCAAGAAAGAGAGAGCAUGCACUGACUUAGUCUCAGAGUAUAAGAUACUAUUGUCUAAACAGGGUGUGCUUGUCUCCAGCUUCUGCUUUAACACUGUACAUUUAUUCACAGAGCCCCACAUAACUCACAGAGCCCCCCAUUUUCUCUACAAUAGUUGGAAAUGUGCUGUAAUAUUUCACUUGGCACUUUUUGUAAGUUGGGCCUGUUAUAUUGGAGUUUCUAAAGUCUUAUCUUUUUAAGUGUGAAGAGGACUUUAUCUAUCUAUAUCUCUAUAUAGACAUUUUCAUUUGAACACUGCAAUAGGUCUGUUGUGAUUUCAGUGCCAAAUAAGAUGAUUGUGGAGGGCAGGAAUAUCAUCCAUGUGAUCUGCUUGUUAAUUGAUGGAUGGAUUGUAUGGUGGGUUCCCAGGAGUCCUCGAAGAGCUAUGCUGAAUUUGGAUGGGUUUUCUGCUUGUGUGCAUCUGCCUCAUUAGUUUGCCAAUGUGUCCAGAAAUUCUUGGGAGGAAAGUCAUUACCAGUAUAAGCUGACUUACUGCAGCAGAGUUACAGCAGGAACAGGUUGGGUCUCCUGCCAACAAACCUUGCAGUUGUGUCACACAGAAUCUGAGACACCAAAAUGUUGA